CCGGAUUUUUUUUGCAAUUUGUCAGAUACUUCAACAUCGAUACAGAAAAGUCAACAAAAGGGAUAGCCAAAACAAUCUCCAAGGCAUCAUACCUGUCAAGAAAAUGAAAUUUGUAAAGCAUCUUGUAUUUCUUUAUCAAGUGAGCACAACAAAAGAACAACAAAAGAUAACAAAUUAAUUAAGCAAUAAAUUCAGUUCGAUUACACGAAUCCUUUUCACCACUCCAAUCAAUUUGUUACUACAUUCUUCUGAAAGAUCUAACGAUGUCGAUACAAGAAAGAAGAAGAAGAAGAAGAAGAAGAAGAAGAAGAAGAAGAAGAAGAAGAAGGCAUCAAAUGACAGAUUGAUCUUGACUCCUGAUGAUCAAGCCAUUAGGUCAUUCUUCUUAAAGAUUCUUGAUGGAACGGCAAAACGAGCCGAAAAUGAUCGAGAAAGUUCAUCGGGAUUUGCCCACAUUAAGCCCUGAUCAAAAUUCUGUGCAUAAGAAUAUGGAUCAUAAGUGAAUCUCAUUGAAUUGGAGCAAUUGAAAUUUUUUUUCUUCUCUUUCUUCAUCUUCCUCCAUAACAGUGUCCAAAUGGGAGCUUUUGAGUUGUUUAUUGACAAAUUAUAUGAUGUGAGUUGGUCAUAGUAGUCUCGACCGGAUUCGAGUCGACCCCAUUGGACAUCAUCGUUGCAGGAGCAGCACCAUGUUCCAGCACCCAUUGUGAAGAGAAAACAAGUUCUGAUGUGAAUUUUGUGAGUGGGAAUAUAAGGAGUUGGGGUUGGUGUUUAAAAGAAAGGAGAAUAAAUGCAUGGG
rnacentral:lncRNA from 1 species